UUUCACCUACGGGACGCAGCAGUGGGGAAUAUUGCACAAUGGGGGGAACCCUGAUGCAGCGACGCCGCGUGGGUGAAGGAGUACUUCGGUACGUAAAGCUCUAUCAGCAGGGAAGAAAAUGACGGUACCUGACUAAGAAGCCCCGGCUAACUACGUGCCAGCAGCCGCGGUAAUACGUAGGGGGCAAGCGUUAUCCGGAAUUACUGGGUGUAAAGGGAGCGCAGACGGCAGUGCAAGUCUGGAGUGAAAGCCCGUGGCUUAACCACGGGACUGCUCUGGAAACUGUGCAGCUAGAGUGCAGGAGG
rnacentral:rRNA from 1 species